rnacentral:rRNA from 1 species
CGGUUCCUACGGGAGGCAGCAGUGGGGAAUAUUGCACAAUGGGGGAAACCCUGAUGCAGCAACGCCGCGUGAGUGAAGAAGUCAUUCGUGAUGUAAAGCCCUAUCAGCAGGGAAGAACAAUGACGGUACCUGACUAAGAAGCACCGGCUAAAUACGUGCCAGCAGCCGCGGUAAUACGUAUGGUGCAAGCGUUAUCCGGAUUUACUGGGUGUAAAGGGAGCGCAGGCGGCGCGUUAAGCCUGGUGUGAAAGCCCGCGGCCCAACCGCGGGACUGCAUUGGGAACUGGCGCGCUGGAGUGCCGGAG